CUGGAUUCAUCAUUUUGUAUUGGAGAAAUUGUGUCGUUCAUAUCUAAAAAGAGUGAAAAAGUGUUGAAGUAUAAAAUAGUGAAAAUUUGAAAAAGUAAAAUUUUUCUUUUUGUUUAGUUAAAAUGAAGUGUUGUUAUAAUUUUUGUAAAAAGAGAAGCGUUUUUUCAUGGCUGGUUUGCCAAAAUAAUUUGAAAAAUUAUUGAAGGUAUAAAAUGCAUUGGGAAAAUAUCUUGAAAGAAAAAUCGAGAUCUACAUGAGAGCUGGGCGUAUAAUAAAAUUCGGCAAGCGAGGCUAAUUUCGAAGAGUCUAGAAUAUUCCUGCAGAAUUCUCUGAGAAGGGAGGACGUGAAUUUUUCAGAAGUGAGGCAAAAGGGUCUUUAAAUUAGAAAGAAAAAAAAUAGCAUUUGUUUGGGCAGCGUUAUUGAUUUGCAUUUCUGUAUCAUAUGUAACUAAAUACGUAAUUGAAAGCAACGUAAAACGUUUAUUGCAAAGCUAAAAUGGAACGCGUACCUAUGUGGGGAAAACGUAACGUAACUGUUUUUCCUUUUUUGAGAAAAAGCCUAUGAUUGAUAUGAUAAACAACACCACAACAACUGACAAUAUUCAGUAUAAAACUGAAUAGCUAAGAUCUUUAAUCUAAGACAAACAAUGCGAGAUAUGAUGAUGAGAAAUAUCGAAACACAGGCAGUCAGACAGGUCUUGCCAAAAAAAAAAAAAAAAAAAACAGUCCAUGAGUAUCAGUCAGGCAGGCAAACUCUCAGUCAGUCUUUUAAGGCGAUUAUAUAGAGGCCUUGUCUGGUAACCAAUAAACGUAUCUAUAGAAGGCAGCCCAAGUACAAAACAGAAAAUCUUAAAGAAUUUUUUUUGUUUGAUCUGUCGAUGACAAAUACAUCUUUAACAAGUACAACCACGACGACAAAUUAAGCGUGUAUGGGUUAACCGUAUAAUGGUUGCGUGUAAUUGAUUAUUCAUCGAUUAAUGAUGAUAUAUAAUUAGAGCGACGGCGGCAUUUUCUGUUAACGUUAAAUUUGUACUAAACACUAAAUUAAAUUAAAAAGCAGCAGGGAAAACUCGUACUAAACAUUAAAUUUAAGAAUUCGUUUUUCUUUAUUUGAUUUUUUUCGAUUUGUGGUCUUUUGUUUACCUUCUUAAAAAUCCCCCUUUUUUUUUAAUUUAUCGAGAAUCCUCACCGUUUUGCUAAAAAUUAUUUAAAAAAGUUCGUAACAAAAUAUAUGAAAUAAAUAUUCAGAUCUUUUUCUAACAACUCUUGAAAACGUCUUUAAUUUAUUAAAAAAAAAAAAAAAAAAAAAAAAAGACGCCGCAACUUUGAAUUAUUUUAUGAAACAAAUUCAUAAUACAAAAACAUAAUGUGAGUACAGUUAAAUUUAAAAAAAAAAAAUAUUCCUUUUAAAACCAUUUAAAUGAUAAUUUCACCCCUACAAAAAACAAUAGCGUAAGAAGGGUUAAAAUAUUUCAAAAAAUAAUUAAAGCUUACACACACAACAUUAUAGGAUAUGAAAUGGUCGAAAUAAAAUGUCAUCGAAAAGAGAAUCGUCGGUCUUGACAGGGCUGAUGUAAGAAAAAUAUACAUUGAACAGAAAAAGAAAAACAGCGUCACUUGUAAAAAAAUAAAAAAUAAAAAA